UAUCUUUAUAAAUUGAAUUUAGGUUGACUCUGCCUAUGUAAUUAAGAAUUGGUUAUUAAUGUAAUAUUAAAUAUAAAUUUUUGUGUGUUUUGUAUUUAUCUAAAUGGUAAAUAUUUUGUUUAAUUGUAGUUUUUAAUUUUGGUAUUUAUAUAAAUAUAAUUUCAGUUAAUUUUAUUAGAGUUGUUAAAAGUUGUGCCAGCAUACGCGGUUAUACA
rnacentral:rRNA from 1 species